CAGGCCGCGGGAAUACGAAGGGUGCAAGCGUUAAUCGGAAUUACUGGGCGUAAAGCGUGCGUAGGCGGUUUGUUAAGUCUGUUGUGAAAUCCCCGGGCUCAACCUGGGAAUGGCAAUGGAUACUGGCAAGCUAGAGUGUGUCAGAGGAUGGUGGAAUUCCCGGUGUAGCGGUGAAAUGCGUAGAGAUCGGGAGGAACAUCAGUGGCGAAGGCGGCCAUCUGGGACAACACUGACGCUGAGGCACGAAAGCGUGGGGAGCAAACAGGAUUAGAUACCCCCGUAGUCCCUGUCUCUUAUACAC
rnacentral:rRNA from 1 species